AAACUUGAGACCAAGGAACAGAAAGCAGCUUCUUCUUAUCACAGCAACCAGUCCAGAUUUUCUAAUCCAGCUAUUGAGCUUUUUAAUUAAACUUGAUACAAGUAAAUCAUAAAACUGUGGAGAAGCAUUGAAAGGAUGACUGACUGAACCAACUGGAUCCUCCCAGCCAAAGAGAGUAGUUUGCCCAUCCAGCUUUCGAGCACUUUAUCAGCAAGAUAUUGAAGAUGAGACUGUCUUGGGAUGCCUUUGAA
rnacentral:misc_RNA from 1 species